ensembl:snRNA U6 U6 spliceosomal RNA
GUGCUUGCUUUGGCAGUGCAUAUACUAAAAUUAGAACGAUACAGAGAGUAUUAGCAUGGCCCCUGUGCAAGGAUGACACACAAAUUCAUAAAGUGUUCCUUAUUUUU